UCAGAAGAAACAGGUCAGAAUUUUACAUAUAUUACAUAUAACUGUUCAUAUAAUGUACAUAUAUUACAUAUAUCCUUCUGAUAAUCAAAAGUAUACAAGCAUCAGCAUACAGUUUAGAGACUGCACCCUUCAGGAGACAACCCUCCUGUAUAUCCAAAUACAUACUCAGACCAGACAGAAAAAAAAAUACAGAACUGCAGCAGCAUACAGUUUAGAGACUGCACCCUUCAGGAGACAACCCUCCUGUAUAUCCAAAUACAUACUCAGGCCAGACACGAAAAAAAAUACAGAACUGCAGCACAGAGAGCUCCAGAAUGCAGGCAUCACCAUAACACAGAGAGUUUUAUUCUUACAAUCCAUAUUUCAUCACCCUUCAUAUAACACCUGCAUACAACCACAAUGAGAUGUCUGAAUAUGCGCGCCUUACAAUCUAUAUUCACAAUACAGGAUGGAUGAAGAUAAAACAAAUGAAGCUAGAAAAAAACGAAAAGAAAGAAAGCAAAAUUUGCAAAAGUCCGAGCAAGUACAAUGCGAUUGCAACUAAUGAAAGCAACAGAAUUGGUCGAUGUACCAAUUGUUAUACAGUACUCAAUGGAAGUAACAGAAGUGGUCAAUAAAGCAACUGAGGCGAGAAAAAAACGAAAACGAAGAAAGGAAAUUCUGCAAAAAAUCAGAGCAAAGAAAAUGCGAUCCGGACUAUUGGAAGAAACAGAAAUGGUCGAUGUACCAAUUGGUAUACAAUACUCAAUGCCAACAGGUUUGUCAAAAAAAAAUAGAGAUGUACAUACUUCUCCUAAGAAUAUAACCAGAGGCAUUAUUCUAACUUCGUUUUGUCAUUGUCAGGUGUACCUGGAAAGUCACAAAAAAACCCGGAUAAGAACACAUCGAAAAAAGGUCAGAAUUUUGAAGUUUAUUCAUAUAUUCAUAAUUUCUACAAAUCGCUAAUAUGUUAUCUGUUUACUGCAUGAAGAUGGAACUGUGACCACCUCAACCACAACGUAUGGUAGAGCAACUUAUAGUGACUAUGCAGAUUUUGUAGAGAGAAUUGUCACACCUAUUGAAACAGGUAUAUAUUGCAAAUUUUAUAUAAUACAAGAAAAAAAAUUAACCAAGGCCAAAAGCCAUAAUAUCUACAGAUGUUGAUGCAGAUUUCAAUGACACAACGUAUGCUAGAGAUUUUGGAUACUCAAUUUCCAGUGGUAUGAUUUAACUAUUAAUUAUUAUAUACACUUAUAACCAAAGUGCACUACAGAUAAUGAUAAUGAUGAUUGCACUAACUUCGAUUGCCAUAGAGAUGAUGAUAAUGUUGAUUCCUUGGAUUAUGAUAAUGAGAAUAGAAACAGUACAAAAAUCACCAUUACAAGUAAAUCUAAUCACACUUUCUUAGCAUUAAAUUUUGUAUGUCAAUUGCAAGAAUUGAUGAAAACUAACUCUUCUUAUAAUUUAUCAAGCAGGAAAAUAUUGGGAAGUGUCAAACUUAGGUGGGCCUACACAUAAAUGUCCAUUUUGUAAAGUUACAGUUUGGUUUCAAUAAAGAAACAGAAAACGUACCAGACUUAAAAAUCCACAAUUUUCUAUUUGUUGUUACGGAGGAAAUGUUAUUCUCCCUCUUUUGAAGGAACCCCCAAAUUUUCUAAAACAGUGUAGGGGUACUAUAUACAAUGUAGGGGUACUAUAUACAACAUACAUGUGGCACCAUCUCUACCGUCCAUCAUGGUGCCAUAUGUCAACAUCUAAUGGGGUCUCUCUUGAUGGCACAAGUUACAAAGUUAAGCCUUAUUAUUACAAAGAUAUUUUCCCCAUUAUUACCCUAUUAAUUGCUAAGAAUGGAGUUACAUUGUAGCCUAUAAAUAUAAAGGCAAACUACUCAUCUUCUCAUGGUCUCAUUGUGAAUCAUACACAAGACCUCAACACUCUCUCAUGAGACCUCACCUCUCAGGUCUCAUCUCUCUCUUGAGCUCUCUCCAUUAUCGAGCUCCCAUUUUGUAUCACCACUACUAUAAUAAAGUUCAUUCUCUCUCUCCGUGGAUGUAGGCACAAUUGCCGAACCACGUAUACAAUGGUGUUCACGUCUCUACUUUAUUAUUGUUCGUAUCAUACACAUCAUCAUCUUUCAUUAAUGUAUUGACCAACUUCACAAAAAUGGUUAAUACAGUUGGCGCCGACUACAGGGACUUGGGAUUUUCUCAAGCGAAUUCCACCCACCAACCCCACCGAACACCAUUGUUCUAAGGUUCUCAGAUGGUGAUUUUCAAGAAAUUCAUUGAAUUUGAAAAGAUAGAAUUGCAACUCACAGUUGGGGGCUUGGAGCAAAUUGUUUACACAAUUACUGGACUCGACAGAAGCAAGAUAAGUAUCACUUUAAUAUUUUUUGGUGAUUGAAAUGAGGCACCGAGCUAUCAAGGAGCGACCUCAUCAUCUACUGUUUAUUCUACACAGUUUCACAUAUAUUUAUCUGGUGAUAUAUUUUCAUGUCUCUCAUCGUGACCUCGACAGGUCUACCAACGACCUCUCAAGUCUCGUCGCGACCUAACCAGGUCCUUCAUACCAGGUCUUUCAUGCCAGGUCCUUCAUACCAGGUCCUUCAUGCCAGGUCCUUCAUACCAGGUCCUUCAUGCAAGGUCCUUCAUGCCAGGUCCUUCAUACCAGGUCCUUCAUGUCAGGUCCUUCAUACCAGGUCCUUCAUCGCGACCUCACCAAGUCUAUCAACGACCUCCUCAAAUUACAGGUCUUUCAACGACCUCAAGAAUAUUUAUGCCAUACAGGGGGCUAUUCUCACUUUAUCUAAUGAAAUUAACUUAUUAUUAGCACAAUUAGCUAUUAAUGAUAUUUUUUGUAGCUCUCUCUAUGUGCAGGUCACAUGAACACGACCUCACUCCCCAUGAGCUAUUUUUGCACAAAUGUGCCACAUUGCUUUCACUGAACUCUUUACAAGUGAAAUGCUUGAUAUACAAUACGGCCACCCUCAUUGACUAGUGAGUCACUCGUAUGCGGGACGACCUCAAACACAAUUAUCUAGCCACACGCCUGGUCGAACGCAUUCACUCUCAACGCAAUGCAGACCCACAAAGGCCACAUGCCCGAGAAUUGUCAAACAGGUCUCCACGCUGCGACCAUUCACUAGAUCGAGCACCAAAAGGUUCCAAGUAACUCUCAAAACACUUGGUCAACCAAUGCUUUUCCUCAAACGAGCUACAUGUGCACUCCAAAGUGCCACAUCUAUCGGAAUGUUCAAUCACAAGGCGACAAAGAUAGUACAUACAAAACUCAUAAGGAAGACAUACAAUUCAGUGUAAGCCUCUUACUAAAUUUUAUAAUAUUUCACAUGCUAACAUUAUCAACAAGUAUCAGGUCUAUGCAACUCGACCACAAAAAGACAACCACCCAUGUAUGCAAGAAGACCCACUUCAGUACGACCUGCUUGCAACUGUCCAUCUCGUCUACAUGCCUUCUGAACGAGCUACCAGGUCUCCCUGGAACUAACUAGCUCGCUAUACACAAAUUCAUGAUCGAGUUGCCAUUACCACAAGGGACCUUCAUCGCGUCCUGCAAAUCUCAAUGAUCAAGCUCAUCAAAAUUUGGGGCGGAUCGACUUCGUUAAAGAACCCCAUAUUUCAUUCAUCUUGGGGGCUGGAUUGGUUCGAUUACUUCUUUUCAGCCCGAACUCCGUUCAACCUAAAAAGAGGGGGCUUAUGUAGGGGUACUAUAUACAACAUACAUGUGGCACCAUCUCUAUCGUCCAUCAUGGUGCCACAUGUCAACAUCUAAUGGGCUCUCUCUUGAUGGCACAAGUUACAAAGUUAAGCCUUAUUAUUACAAAGAUUAUUUCCCCAUGAUUACCCUAUUAAUUGCUAAGAAUGGAGUUACAUUGUAGCCUAUAAAUAUAAAGGCAAACUACUCAUCUUCUCAUGGUCUCAUUGUGAAUCAUACACAAGACCUCAACACUCUCUCAUGAGACCUCACCUCUCAGGUCUCAUCUCUCUCUUGAGCUCUCUCCAUUAUCGAGCUCCCAUUUUGUAUCACCACUACUAUAAUAAAGUUCAUUCUCUCUCUCUCCGUGGAUGUAGGUACAAUUGCCGAACCACGUAUACAAUGGUGUUCACGUCUCUACUUUAUUAUUGUUCAUAUCAUACACAUCAUCAUCUUUCAUUAAUGUAUUGACCAACUUCACAAAAAUGGUUAAUACAUACAACAUACAUGUGGCACCAUCUCUACCGUCCAUCAUGGUGCCACAUGUCAACAUCUAAUGGGCUCUCUCUUGAUGGCACAAGUUACAAAGUUAAGCCUUAUUAUUACAAAGAUAUUUUCCCCAUUAUUACCCUAUUAAUUGCUAAGAAUGGAGUUACAUUGUAGCCUAUAAAUAUAAAGGCAAACUACUCAUCUUCUCAUGGUCUCAUUGUGAAUCAUACACAAGACCUCAACACUCUCUCAUGAAACCUCACCUCUCAGGUCUCAUCUCUCUCUUGAGCUCUCUCCAUUAUCGAGCUCCCAUUUUGUAUCACCACUACUAUAAUAAAGUUCAUUUUCUCUCUCCGUGGAUGUAGGCACAAUUGCCGAACCACAUAUACAAUGGUGUUCACGUCUCUACUUUAUUAUUGUUCAUAUCAUACACAUCAUCAUCUUUCAUUAAUGUAUUGACCAACUUCACAAAAAUGGUUAAUACAUUUGGCGCCGACUACAGGGACUUGGGAUUUUCUCAAGCGAAUUCCACCCACCAACCCCACCGAACACCAUUGUUCUAAGGUUCUCAGAUGGUGAUUUUCAAGAAAUUCUUUGAAUUUGAAAAGAUAGAAUUGUAACUCACAGUUGGGGGCUUGGAGCAAAUUGUUUACACAAUUACUGGACUCGACAGAAGCAAGAUAAGUAUCACUUUAAUAUUUUUUGGUGAUUGAAAUGAGGCACCGAGCUAUCAAGGAGCGACCUCAUCAUCUACUGUUUAUUCUACACAGUUUCACAUAUAUUUAUCUGGUGAUAUAUUUUCAUGUCUCUCAUCGUGACCUCGACAGGUCUACCAACGACCUCUCAAGUCUCGUCGCGACCUAACCAGGUCCUUCAUACCAGGUCUUUCAUGCCAGGUCCUUCAUACCAGGUCCUUCAUGCCAGGUCCUUCAUACCAGGUCCUUCAUGCAAGGUCCUUCAUGCCAGGUCCUUCAUACCAGGUCCUUCAUGUCAGGUCCUUCAUCGCGACCUCACCAAGUCUAUCAACGACCUCCUCAAAUUACAGGUCUUUCAACGACCUCAAGAAUAUUUAUGCCAUACAGGGGGCUAUUCUCACUUUAUCUAAUGAAAUUAACUUAUUAUUAGCACAAUUAGCUAUUAAUGAUAUUUUUUGUAGCUCUCUCUAUGUGCAGGUCACAUGAACACGACCUCACUCCCCAUGAGCUAUUUUUGCACAAAUGUGCCACAUUGCUUUCACUGAACUCUUUACAAGUGAAAUGCUUGAUAUACAAUACGGCCACCCUCAUUGACUAGUGAGUCACUCGUAUGCGGGACGACCUCAAACACAAUUCUCUAGCCACACGCCUGGUCGAACGCAUUCACUCUCAACGCAAUGCAGACCCACAAAGGCCACAUGCCCGAAAAUUGUCAAACAGGUCUCCACGCUGCGACCAUUCACUAGAUCGGGCACCAAAAGGUUCCAAGUAUCUCUCAAAACACUUGGUCAACCAAUGCUCUUCCUCAAACGAGCUACAUGUGCACUCCAAAGUGCCACAUCUAUCGGAAUGUCCAAUCACAAGGUGACAAAGAUAGUACAUACAAAACUCAUAAGGAAUACAUACAGUUCAGUGUAAGUCUCUUACUAAAUUUUAUAAUAUUUCACAUGCUAACAUUAUCAACAAGUAUCAGGUCUAUCCAACUCGACCACAAAAAGACAACCACCCAUGUAUGCAAGAAGACCCACUUCAGUACGACCUGCUUGCAACUGUCCAUCUCGUCUACAUGCCUUCUGAACGAGCUACCAGGUCUCCCUGGAACUAACUAGCUCGCUAUACACAAAUUCAUGAUCGAGUUGCCAUUACCACAAGGGACCUUCAUCACGUCCUGCAAAUCUCAAUGAUCAAGCUCAUCAAAAUUUGGGGCGGAUCGACUUCGGUAUAGAACCCCAUAUUUCAUUCAUCUUGGGGGCUGGAUCGGUUCGAUUACUUCUUUUCAGCCCGAACUCCGUUCAACCUAAAAAGAGGGGGCUUAUGUAGGGGUACUAUAUACAACAUACAUGUGGCACCAUCUCUACCGUCCAUCAUGGUGCCACAUGUCAACAUCUAAUGGGCUCUCUCUUGAUGGCACAAGUUACAAAGUUAAGCCUUAUUAUUACAAAGAUAUUUUCCCCAUUAUUACCCUAUUAAUUGCUAAGAAUGGAGUUACAUUGUAGCCUAUAAAUAUAAAGGCAAACUACUCAUCUUCUCAUGGUAUCAUUGUGAAUCAUACACAAGACCUCAACACUCUCUCAUGAGACCUCACCUCUCAGGUCUCAUCUCUCUCUUGAGCUCUCUCCAUUAUCGAGCUCCCAUUUUGUAUCACCACUACUAUAAUAAAGUUCAUUCUCUCUCUCCAUGGAUGUAGGCACAAUUGCCGAACCACGUAUACAAUGGUGUUCACGUCUCUACUUUAUUAUUGUUCAUAUCAUACACAUCAUCAUCUUUCAUUAAUGUAUUAACCAACUUCACAAAAAUGGUUAAUACAAACAGCUAAUGGAUUACAAAGGUGGUUCAAGGUCUAGACAAUUCAGAGAUAAUAUACGAGCUUAUAACUCUAUGUUUGCAUUCACGUCAAUGGGAGGAAAAAUAGACAACUCAGUUAAUGAUGGACGUGGCCAGUAUGUUUACAAAAUAAAUGGCCAAAAUCAUCAUAGGAUUGGAUCAUUGCUACCAGAUGGAGGACGAAGACCACGUUUUGCCCAACUUUAUAUAUGUGAUCCUCAAUAUGAAGCAAAUGAACGUAUACAUGCUAUGCGAAGAUCUGAACAAGGUGCCAAUUUGGAAGAAGACAUUGUCAAAGGUUUGAUCAAAUUAUUUGAUAAAAACAAUCCAUUGGCAAAGGUGUUUAGAAUGGCUCGAGAAAGAAAUCCAAGUGUUGAAGUACCUACAGUGCGCAUUAAGUUAAUUGGUACUCGACAAAAAGAUGCGAGACAAUAUAACCUACCAACUGUUUCAGAAGUAGCAGCUUUGGUUGUAGGAGAUGAGUUUGGCAUGAAUGACAAUAGAGACAUAGUGUUGGAAACAAAAUCAGGAGCACUCAAAAGAAUAAAUGAAUUGCAGCCAAGUUAUAUAUGGCUUUGCAAUAUCCAUUGUUGUUUCCAUAUGGUGAAGAUGGAUUUAGACUAUAUACUUUAUAUGCAAAUAUUCCAGAAGAUGUAACACCUACCUCAAAAAACACUAUAAGCAUGCGACAGUACUACGCCUUUAGACUUCAGCAUAGAAUUGGAGAAGCUCAUACUCUGCUUAAAGUUGGUCGUCUUUUACAGCAAUAUAUAGUUGAUGCAUACGCCUGUAUUGAAGAACACAAGUUACCAUAUAUCAAAAAAAAAAAAAAAAAAAAACAAUUUAGUUUAGUGUAAUUACUUUUCGAAGAAAAAUUUAAUUUGUUUUUGAAACUCCUACUGCAGGUUAUCAUAUAUCAAAAAAAAUCAAAAGAAAUUGCGAGCUGAGUUGUACCAAGGUUUAAAAGAUGCCAUUGUAGCAGGAGACACAUCCCCAGCCUCAAUAGGAAGAAGAUUAGUUCUUCCCUCAAGUUUCACAGGUGGCCCAAGGUAUAUGGUACAAAAUUACCAGGAUGCAAUAGCUAUUUGUCGGUGGGCAGGAUCUCCAGACUUAUUCAUAACAUUUACUUGCAAUUCAAAGUGGCCAGAAAUUGAAAAAUACCUAGAGCUAAUCCCAGGCCAAAAGCCAGAUGACAGACCUGACAUAGUCUCAAGGGUGUUCAAGAUCAAACUCGAACAACUAAUGGAUGAUUUCUGUGAAAAUCAUUACUUUGGAAGAGUAAAGGCUGGUAAGUUGGUUUAUUUUGUUAAUUAACAAUCUUUUAAUCAAUCACUAUGUAUAAUAAUCAAUUCAUAACAAUUGUGCAGUUGUGUACACAAUCGACUUCCAGAAAAGAGGAUUACCCCACGCACAUAUCUUGCUUUGGUUGCACCCACAAGACAAGCCAAAAACAUCUGCAGAUAUUGAUCGCAUAAUUUCAGUUGAACUCCCGGACCCUAAUAACAAAUUGGCAUUUGAUUUUGUAGUUCAAUUCAUAAUACAUGGACCGUGUGGGCCUUGCAUGCAAGAUGGAAAAUGUUCAAAGCACUAUCCGAAAAAAAAACAGCAACGAGACAAAUGUGGACAGAGAUGGAUUUGCAGUAUAUAGGCAAAGAAAAGAUGGAAAAGUUGCCUUCAAAAAUGGUGUACAAGUUGACAAUACAUGGAUAGUACCCCACAAUGUUGACUUGAUAGUUAAAUAUCAAGCACAUAUAAAUGUCGAAUAUUGCAACCAAGGCAGAUUAGUAAAGUAUCUAUUCAAAUAUGUGCACAAAGGCCACGACAAAUCUACCAUUGUGAUUGAAGAAAAUGCAGUCUCAAAUGUAUCACAAGAUACACAAGAGGUGCGUGAAGUUGAUGAAAUCAAAAAUUAUUUGGACUGUCGAUACAUUUCUGCUUCUGAAGCAAGUUGGAGAAUUUUUGAAUUUGAAACCCAUUAUAGAAAUCCAUCAGUUGAAAGGCUUCCAUUCCAUUUAAAAGAUGAACAACCUAUAAUUUUCUAAGAUACUGACGAUCCCAAUGAUGUGGUGAAUAAAGGAGUGAAAGAAACAAAAUUCUUAGAGUGGAUGGAAACAAACAAAAAACAUGAAGAUGCAAGGGAGUUAACAUAUGCAGAAUUCCCUACAAAAUGGGUUUGGAAUAGAGCUAAAAACAAAUGGAAGCGGAGGGAGAAAGGAAUAGCAAUUGGCUGAAUCUACUACGCUCACCCAUCGUCAGGUGAACGUUUCUAUCUACGUCUUCUCCUUAAUCAUGUAAAAGGACCAACUACACAUGAAGAAAUUAAAUUCUACAAUGGAGUUCAGUAUGAUACUUAUAAAGAAACCUGUUAUGCUAGAGGUCUAUUAGAAGAUGAUGCUGAAUGGAACGAAGCAAUAAUAGAAGCAUCAUAUUUCAACCUUCCAAGUCAGCUUAGAGAUUUGUUCACAACCAUUUUUUUAUUUUCAGAAGUAACAAGACCAAUCAAUAUAUGGAAAAACAAUUGGAAAGUGCUAAGCGAUGAUGCAGAGUACAAUGAAAGGAAAAGGCUAAAAAAUCAAUCGCUCACCCUCACAGAAGAACAGAUUAAGAACUAUGCACUAUGUGAAAUAGAAAUAAUUCUGAAUCAGCGAUACAAGUCCCUCAAAGAUUAUGGCCUUCCACAACCAGAUAUGUCAACCCACAGAUUGAGGCAAAACAACAUGAUCAAUGAAGAGCUAGAUUACAAUAGAGAAGAUUUGGAAAAAGAAUUCAAUACCUCACACAAAGAACUAAAUGAAGAUCAAAAAAACGUCUUCAAUUCUAUCAUUGAAGCUGUCGAAAACAAAACAGGUAUGUGAAUUAUAAUAUUCUAUACUAUAAAUGACCAUCUAUUAAAGGUUAUAUAUAUAAAAAAAAAUACCUUACAUUCUCCCAAUGAUGAAAGUAUAUAAACUAAUCAAACCUAAAUGAGUUUACUGAAUAAGUCAGAAUUAAAAUUAGGACUUAUGAUGGUAUACUGACUUACUUUUACUAAAUUGCAUACAGGUGGUUUCUAUUUUGUUUACAGCAGUGGAGGCACAGGGAAAACUUUCCUUUGGAGAACAACAAUGGCCAAAUUAAGAUCUAAAGGAAAAAUAGUACUAGCAGUUGCUUCUUCAGGAAGUGCAUCCCUUCUUCUUCCUGGAGGUAGGACAACGCACUCCAGAUUUAAUAUCCCUCUUAAUGUCGAUGAAUACUCAACAUGCAACAUAACGAAAAGAACAAAAUUAACAAAACUGAUUCAAAAGGCCGACUUGGUUAUAUGGGAUGAAUCCCCAAUGAAUCACAAAUACGUGUUCGAGGCUGUUGAUAAAACUUUUAGGGAUAUUAUGCGCUCGGAAGAUGAAAAUUCAGAAGAAAAAGUGUUUGGUGGAAAAACAGUUGUACUAGGUGGAGACUUCAGGCAAAUCUUACCAGUAGUUGAAAGAGGAUCCCGGGAGGACAUAGUAGCAGCUUCAAUAAGCAAAUCACAUCUUUGGGAGCAUUGCCAAGUAUUCACUUUAAAGAAAAAUAUGCGCCUACCAAAUAAAGACCUAAGCACAGCAAAAGCGGAAUCCAUAAAAGAGUUCAGUGAAUGGGUACUACAACUUGGUGAAGGAAGAUUACCAACAAUACCUGCUAAGGAAGGAGAAGAACCGUCUUUGAUAAAAAUUCCAGAUGAUUUGUUAAUUCAAGGAGAAGAAAACCCAAUUGAACAGAUCGUCGAAACAAUGUAUCCAGACAUUGAAAACAAUUUCAAGGAAGAUGAUUAUCUUAAAGACAGAUGUAUUCUUGCUCCAACAAACAAUUGCGUAGAUGAAAUAAACAAAUUUAUUCUUGACAAAAUCCCAGGUAAUUCAUACAUUUGUAUUAAAAAAAUAAAUUUAUGAACGAUUCAAUAUCAUUUUUGACUCCAUACAUUAUUAAUGGUAUGUCUUCUCACUCGCAGGUUAACGGUUCGAAUAUCUAAGUGCAGACUCGAUCAGCCCAGUUUCAGAGCAAAUUCAAGAUCAGGAUAUCCUUUAUCCAACAGAAUUUCUAAAUACAUUGCAAGUAUCUGGAGUUCCUAAUCAUGCCAUAGAAUUAAAGGUUGGAGUUCCAAUACUGUUAUUGAGAAACACCAAUCCAAGAUCUGGAAUGUGCAAUGGAACCAGACUCAUAGUAACAAAAUUGGGAAAGUUGGUAAUUGAAGGUCAAAUUAUUACCGGCAGCCAUGUUGGAGAAAGGAGAACAAUUCCAAGAAUUGUCAUGACAACAAUGAAUACAAAGUAGGCGUUCAUACUAAGAAGAAGGCAAUUCCCAAUAAAGCUUUGUUUUGCCAUGACAAUUAGCAAAAGCCAAGGACAAACUCUUAAAAACGUCGGAUUGUACUUGCCAGAACCAGUAUUCACACAUGGUCAACUAUAUGUUGCGGCUUCAAGAACAACGUCACGAGAAGGAUUGAAAGUUCUUAUUAAGAAGAAAGAUGACCAACCUAUAGGAUACACAAGGAAUGUGGUAUACCAUGAAAUCUUAAAUGACAUCACUUCAAGUAAGUAUGUUUUAAUAUCAUUAUAAAAUUAACUAUUUCAUUAAUUAUUUAAACUUAUAUGUGUUUUUAAACAGAUACAGAUGAUGAACCAAAAAAUUAUAACGAAGAUGAUGACAUCAUAUAUCGUGAAGACAAUCAACAGUAAGGACAACCAAAAUAUAUAUACUUAUAUAUUAUACAUGGAUGAGUUGUUGUGGGCAGCAUUGUAGUUGGAGUACAUUAUCAACAAUGCUAAUGACUAUUGAAUUCGGUUUGGAUGUUAAGUAUGCUAGUGUCCAAAUAUUGAGGCUAAAAUGCUUGAAUAAUUAGUGCUUGAAAAUAAGUUUCUAAAUCUACAGAAGGUUCAACAUGGUAGAUUUCAGCGACAGAAGUGCUUUGAAUGUACAAAAAACUAAACUGAUAAAAAUUAGGGAAUCUCACAAGUCAUAUCUGCAUUGGAUGAUAUCAUAUCCUGAUAUGCGUUCCACACAAUAUUGGCAUCUUGGACAAUGUGACCAUUUAGUUUUUUUUUCAUUACAGAACAGAAGAGAACAUCGUUUCUUUUUGCGACCGUACUCCUCGCUUCAUUGCAACUAUAUCAAGCAUGCCAUCGACAUUCACAAUUGAAACAGAAUAUUCCCUUCCAAAUUGGACAAAUAGCGUCAGUUUCUUCUUAAUGGACCUAACAUAUUUAUAUAUGUCAAUAUGCAGUCUACAAUAGUUUGCAAACUAAAUUAAAUUCUGCAUUUGGAAUUCAAAUUUGAACUCCUGCAACAACUGAAAAGAGUCCAGACCAACAGCCAAAAAAUAAUGCAAUGGGCCAUCUUAUCAACAAAAAACUCAAAUAGGCCCACAAGAAAAAUUACUAACAAUAUCAAAAUAACAAAUAAAAUCUUACCAUUAAAGUAUCACGUCAACUACUAAAAUCUUAACAAACAAACCUAUGAACCGACCUUAAGAGUUUAAUUGCCUUUAAAAAACAACUAAAUAAAGAAACAUAAUAAUAGUAAACUCUAGCUAAUAACACCACGACACUUAGCAUUAUAAAUACAUGACAUGCGUACAACUAAACCCUAUUCUAUAUUCUACAUACUUCAAUCUCCUUCCUUCUGCUUCUACUUCAGAGAAAAACAAAGGUAUGUCAAUUUAUUAAUGUCUAAACUAAUUAGCUUAUAAAAGUAUGCAGGUACACUUUUCUAAUGGUUUGCUUUUAAUUAUUCCAGCUAUUUACUGUUUGAAUUUAAGGAGUUCGAUUUCUAAAAGAAAAAAAACCCUAAUGUAACCAGUUUAAGGUUUUGGUUUACUACGUUGUUGUUGUACAACUUCGUCUUCCUCUUUACUAAUAUAUAUGACUGCUAUAUGAACAUAGGGAAUAGCUAUGGAUAAAUACAACACAAUCAGUGAGAUUGAUGAAAACAAAAGGUCAUGGAAGCUAAAAGGUAUGGUCAUACGUAUGUGGCCAACUUUUGAAGAAGAAAAAAUAACGGAAAAAAUUGUAAAGAAAGUUGUCGCACUGGAUAUCAUUGUAAUGGACGAAAAGGUAUGAUUGUUUUUACAUAUAUUCACCUCACCUAAACAAAUGCCUAACCAUUAUUUAAUAUCAGGGAGGUAACGCAAUCGAAAAGUCAUUAAAUUAUUGUUUUUUAACUAAUAACUUAUAUGUUUUUGGUUUAUUUCAAUUGGAAAUUCAGGGAAGAGAAAUUGAAGGUAACAUUAUGGGGAGAAAUGAAGGAUAUCUUUGACACUGAAAAACUGAAGACUAUGGUGAAUGAAAAACCAGUAGUAGUGAUAUCACUAGCAAAAGUUCGUAAAUUUCAGGGUAAUUACCUUAACUUUUUAAAUAUAUGAAAAUACUCUAUAUAUAAUAAUGAUUUUGUUAUCCUAUACAAAUAAAAAUUAUUUCAUAUUCUAUAAAACAGGAGCCCAGUUGUCCACUACAACCGGAACUAUGCUUUAUUUAAAUCCAGAUAUUCCAGAAGUUAUACAAAUGAAGAACAGGUAAAACUAUCUCACAAAUGUUUACAUACUCAACUUAAUAACAUGAUUUACUACUUAUAACCAAUUAUAAUCAGAUCCUUUAUGAUGUGUUUUACAUUGAUCAACCAAGUGAACAUCACGUUGAAAAUAGGAGAUUUUUCAAGAUUCAAAAAAGGCAACCUACUGGAUGUGCAAAAAUCUAUCAACCAAGAAACUCAUGAGGUACAUUUACUUCCCUUCAUUCUUAAGCAUAUUCAAAUUUCAUAUUAAUAUUUAUCUUGCAAAAAUCUAUUUUCAUAAAAAAAAUAAAUAUACAGGACUACAUCACAUGUUCAGCAAAAAUAGUUAAAGUUAAUGCAUCGCCAGAAUGGUACUACUUCGCUUGCAAAACUUGCAAGACAAAGGCGGAAGAAGUUCUCGAAGCAUAUCAAUGCUAUUGUGGAAUAAUUGAAGAAUCAAAUACAAUGCUACAGUAAGUAUAAAACCCUUUUUUUACUAAACACAAUGACAUAUAUCAUCUAAACAUGCAAUCUUAUGUGUGCUAAAUGUUUCAUUGUCAAAAAAUAUAUGUAUAAAAAAACAGGUAUAAGAUACAAAUCGAAAUAUCGGAUGGAAUAGGAAAUGCAAAAAUUACAGUUUUUGGUGAAAAAGCGAAAAAACUAAUGAAGGAUAAUACAGUAGCUGCAUUGCUAAGUAUGAAAGAAAAAGGAGAGGACAUCGUGAGAAACUACAUUCAAGCAAUCGAGAAUACUGAAGCAAUUUUUGACAUAAAGAUAACUGAAAAGAACAGGCAAUUUCCAAAAGGAUAUCUUACAUGCACAAACAUCUCAUUCGAAGGACAAGUAAAAGAAGGUACAACAAAAGACAACAUACAAAAGGUAAGACCUCAACCCACCCACACAAAAAAUCAAAUAUAUAUAUAUAGUCAAUAAGAUUAAAAUAUAAAAUUAUUUUUUUUUAUUAUUUAAUAUAUUGCAGGAAAACUUUGUCCCACCAACACCUAAGAAACACUCUCCUGAAGAAAUAGUCGACGUUGACAAACUUCCUCAAAAAGAUUAUACUAAGAAGAUAUGCAUUAAGCAAGAACCAGAGGUAAGAAUAUUCAGACAAAGAAAAACAAUAAACAAAAUUAUAAAUCAUAAAUUAAAUUUUACACCACUAAUUUCUCUUCAUUUUUAUAUGCAGGACUCGGACUAAAGGGGAAAAUGGAAUGCACCUAAGAAACAAGCUUUGCUACUAUAAUGUCGUUUCACAACUUUAUUUAGAUUUAUCACUCUAUUUUUGUUAAUCAGAUUUUUAUAUUGUUUACUGAUGAUUUAAUAAUGGAAUUGAUUUGAAUGUCUUCCUGCUAAUUUCCAUUAGUUAUUAAAGCAUAUGGAAGAAAAAAAAUUGGACUUAAAAAGGAACAAACUUAGAAAGAGCAAAGAAUGCUAUGAAAAAAAAAUAUUACAUAGAAAAGAGCAAAGAAAUAGUCUUUACCAUUUCAAUAGUUAUCUGGAUUUCUCCUCCAUUGUAAUAGCUCGAUCAUAAUGAAAUCAAAUGGAUUCAUUCUAAAUGUUGCUCCAAUUGUUGUUCAUAAAUUAUAAUGGAUUCAAGCAGCCAUGAUGAUGAUUGAAUGGAGAUGUGAUCGAGUUAAAUGCAGACUACUAUUAAUACCUAUAAUGGAUUCAUCCAUAAGCAUCCAUGACAAGUAACUAUUCAAAUUCAUCAAUCAAUUGAUCAAUUUCUGCCAAACCUAACCCUUGC
rnacentral:lncRNA from 1 species